CUGGGUGCCCUCCCCACCCCCACGAGGGCCGCGGCCGUGGGGCGCUGGUAGCUCUCCCGCCCCUCCGCCCUGCACCCCUCCCGCCCUGGGUCUCCUUCCUGGACUGCGGAUGCAGCCUUCUCUUCCCGGAGGGCUCAGGGUUCGUCCCUUUUUCGCGGUUGGGAACGGGGACACGCCGGAGCCUGGAUGCAGAAGGGCGGGCGGGAGCAUAGAGCUGGUGCACGAGCCGCAGCCCAGCGUCCAGGACGCAGUACUCUCUGCUGAUCCAAAGGACUACGGAAACCCUGCGAGCCGGCGGUGGCCUGUUAGCUGCAGCUGAGCCAGAAGCGUCCCCACUGGCUUACUCGAGAGUGGGAUGUUACACGGUGUCGGCUAAGGUGGCUUUGUGAGAAGAUCAUUUCAGAAGAGGAAACGGGCUCUGGCUGGUGGACUAGAAACCCCUAUGGAAUGAAAAGCACUCCCCAGUCUCUUUGAGGAAGAUUGGGCAAAGUAAGUUUUCCUACCCAGAGUCGGGUUAAACACGGAUCCCGCUAUGGAGAGAAGGGUUCCGGCCGAGUGAAGGCCCCUCUUUCUGGGACAAAGCGAUCCUUAAUUAUGGCCACCUUCCAGAAUCCCGGGAGUAUUCGCUGCGCGCGUGAGUCUGCCUGCGCGGCGCUUGGUGGGUAGUCCCGCUUCCACCAAAACUCUGCGUUUCGUUUCUCUCAAAAUAAAACUCAACAAGCCAUAAAGCUUCCGACGCCGGUGGAGAAGGCGCCGCGGAUUUAUGGCCCCUGAAUUCCCCACUCUCUAAUUAUCCUUGUUUUUACUUGACUUAUGGGUAGUGACCAAUAAAAUCAUUUUCCAUUUUG